UGCAUAUCCCAAAAGCGGAGGAAAAGAAACUAACAAGGAUUCCCCUAGUAACUGCGAGUGAAGCGGGAAAAGCUCAAAUUUAAAAUCUGGUGGUCUUUGGCCAUCCGAGUUGUAAUCUAGAGAAGUGUUAUCCGCGCUGGACCGUGUACAAGUCCCCUGGAAUGGGGCGUCAUAGAGGGUGAGAAUCCCGUCUUUGACACGGACUACCAGGGCUUUGUGAUGCACUCUCAAAGAGUCGAGUUGUUUGGGAAUGCAGCUCAAAAUGGGUGGUAAAUUCCAUCUAAAGCUAAAUAUUGGCGAGAGACCGAUAGCGAACAAGUACCGUGAGGGAAAGAUGAAAAGAACUUUGGAAAGAGAGUUAAACAGUACGUGAAAUUGUUGAAAGGGAAACGCUUGAAGUCAGUCGCGUCUGCCAGGGAUCAACCUUACUUUUGUGAGGCGUACUUCCUGGUUGAUGGGUCAGCAUCAGUUUUGGUCGCUGGAUAAAGGUCAGAGAAAUGUGGCACCCUCGGGUGUGUUAUAGUCUUUGAUCAGAUACAGUGGCUGGGACUGAGGAACUCAGCGCCGCAAGGCUGUCUUAGGAUGCUGGCAAAAUGGCUUUAAUCGACCCGUCUUGAAACACGGACAAAGGGAGUCA
rnacentral:rRNA from 1 species